rnacentral:ncRNA from 1 species
AAGGCGGAAUCUGAAAAGCCUAUAUUAAACAGAGUAGGAA